rnacentral:misc_RNA from 1 species
GAAAAUUAAACCAGCUGAUCGGCUGAUGUUUGGAAUUAUGUGGUUUUGGUUUUGAAAUAUUUGGGUGAUUUUGGAUCUGAGUUGGUUUUGUUAGUCCAGUUAAGGGAUGCUGUUUUAUGGGAUUCUUGUCUUCUUCUGAAAGCGCAUUAUUGAAUAUGCCAUUCAGUUUUCGAUCAUUUAGUAAUUUUAGUAGCAUGGGUCAUUUGGUGGGAGAUGUGUUUGAUUAAUUGGCAUUGUAGAUUAGGGAAAGAAAUUUGUAG